CUUAAAUGUAGCAAGUGGACUAUACAUGCAGGCAAAGGAAUGAAGACACGCAGAUACUUAAGCAGGUAGAUCAGGUGUUGCAGAGACAAGCAGAUUCAGCCACACAAUACAAGUUUCUGGGGUAAAAAAAUGACAUAGGUAAACAUAUCGAGCGAACUAUAAAUGCAAGCAAGGGAAUGAAGAUACGUAGAUUCUCAGGUAGGUGGAUCAGGUGUUACAAAAAAGAGCAGAUACAGUCAUACAAUAUAAGUUUCUGGGGUAAAAAAAUGACAUACGUAAACACAGCGAGCGAACUAUAAAUGCAAACAAGUAAAUGAAUCGGGGCCAGUUUUACAAUUCAAUACAGCAAGUUUGUGAGAGAGUUUUGUAGCGUGUUGGAAUGUCGAACUGGCCUUGAGGGUACGCAUAUACUUAGGUAGAUAGCUCAGGUGUUACACGAGAUAGCGAUAAGGUCAUAGCGUUCCCAGAGACUCCGCAACAACGUGAAAGCAGGGAAGGCCACGCGUGAUUCUUAGACGCACCUUUCCUAGUAUUAUCGAGCCCUGGGUGACGAAGCGCGCGCCAUAAAGUGAAUGCGUGGCCGUAAACUAAGGAUGAUCAGGGGAAGGUGGGUGGCUCGCUUCUUCUCCUCUUCCACUGUACGCGUGACUCCACCUUCUCUCCACUUCCCAUCCACUUUUUUUUUCCAGCAGAUCAAGUACUAUAGAGAAAAUUAGAUACAGUUUCGUGGGUAAAAAGUGACGUAGGUAAAUAUAACAAGUGGACGUAAGUGGGCGUAAAAAAAAAAAAUUAUGGAAAAAAAAGCCCGCUACUUACUGCUCCUGAAUAGAGUAGCGAGGAGUGGCCAAAAAUAGAAAUCAAAAUCAACCUUGCUCCGAAAUAGAGAAAAUAGAUAGAGAAAUGAAUAGGCUACAAGAGAAAUGAAAGUCCUAUCAGUCUAUCCAUCAGUCCAUCUUCUCCUGUCCACUUCUUCCCAACCACCUUUGCUCCGAAAUAGAGGAAAUAGAUAGAGAAAUGAAUAGACUACAAGAGAAAUGAAAGUCCUAUCAGUCUAUCCAUCAGUCCAUCUUCUCCUGUCCACUCCUUCCCAACCACCUUUGCUCCGAAAUAGAGAAAAAUAAAUAGGGAACAUCAGAAAUAAGCCCUAUACAUACAUCAGUCCAACUUCUCUCCACUUCUUCCCAACCACCUUCCUCCGAAAUAGAUUGAAAAUAAUAGAGAAAUAAAUAGGUAGUAAGAGGAAUGAACCCAUGACCAUAACCUGGGUGUGUGUGGCCGUAAACUAAGGAUGAUCGCUGGUUGUUGAGUUUGCUGGCUUCUGCUCACUCGUCUCCACACGUGAGUUUUUACCUUCAGUCUUCCACGUGAGUCCACCUUUCUUCCACGUGAGUCCACUUUCAACUAUCCACUUAAUCCAAAGAGAAAUAGAUAGGAAUAAAUAGACAGAGAGAAAAAAUACUUAGAAAUAAAUAUAUACAGAUAGAAAAUAGAUGCAAAAAGACAAAUAGAAAAUAGAUAGAAAUAAGUGGACAGAUAGAAAGAAAAAAGAAAGGAAUAGACAGAAAAUAAAUGGGAAUAAACAGCAGAAAAUAGAUAGAAAUAAACAGACAAAAUAGAUAGAAAUAAACAGACAGAAAAUAGAUAGAAAUAAACAGACAGAAAAUAGAUAGAAAUAAACAGACAGAAAAUAGAUAGAAAUAAACACAGAAAA